rnacentral:rRNA from 1 species
UACGUAGGGGGCAAGCGUUGUCCGGAUUUAUUGGGCGUAAAGAGCGUGUAGGCGGCCGUACAGGUCAGCUGUGAAAACUCGAGGCUCAACCUCGAGACGUCGGUUGAAACCGUACGGCUAGAGUCCGGAAGAGGAGAGUGGAAUUCCCGGUGUAGCGGUGAAAUGCGCAGAUAUCGGGAAGAACACCGGUGGCGAAGGCGGGUCUCUGGGCCGAUACUGACGCUGAGGAGCGAAAGCGUGGGGAGCGAACAGG